GCGAGUAGCGGAAGUCAUGGCGAGCGCUGGUGCUGGUACCGGUACCGGUGGAGGAGGGAAGGUCUCCUUCAAGGUGACACUUACCUCCGAUCCCAAGCUCCCUUUCAAGGUGUACGUAUAAUCAUUUCAAUUUAGCUUUUUUUUAUUUUAUUUCUUUGUCUUCGUGUUCUUUGUUUUCUCCUCUCCGAUCAGAGUUGUUUUUCGUUUAUGGCUAAUUGUAGUUUCUAUUGUUUUGAUUUUAGGUUUAGCGUACCAGAAGCUGCCCCGUUCACCGCUGUUUUGAAAUUUGCAGCCGAGGAAUUUAAAGUCCCUCCUCAAACCAGCGCCAUCAUUACCAAUGGUAUUUGCUAGUCUAGGGUUUCACAUUGAUUAUUGUUGAUUUUGUGUUUUUUUCCCCCGAAAUUCUUCAUCCUCAUUUUUGUCGGUUGAUUUCCUUUUUUGGUGUCAUAAAUGAAUUAAUUAUUACUAAUUUCGCUCACAUUACAUUCUUGAUUUUAGCUUUAUUUGCUUAGAUAUCCCGUAUCUCCUCUUUUUUAACUAGCCUAUUGACUAGUUUUAGUCAAAUUCUACAACAUGGCUUGUCAAAAUUUUUAAUUUAUCCUAUUUUGAUUUGUUGUUUCUUAUUUCAAACUGUUUUGUUUACAUCCAGAUGGUGUAGGAAUCAAUCCUCAACAAAGUGCAGGUAUGCUAAUGCAUUCUUUAUGCAAUAAAAUUUGCGAUUUCAUUUGAUUUGCUUUUUGUGAUUCUUAAAUGGGUUUUGUUGAAGCACUCGGUUUUGUUUACUGUAUGUAAGAUCUAAUCAUCCAACCCCAGAAAUGAGGUGACGCUAUAAGUUAUAUGAUAUGAGCAGCUAGUCAAAUUUUACAAAUUUUUCGGUUUCAUUAAUCUGCACCUUGAGUCUGGAUCACAGUUAAUAGUAGUAGUUUCAUUGGAAAUUUGUGCAAGUGGGAAAAUAGCGCCAGGCGUCAAUGUGAAAAUAGAUGCCUCUUUAGAUUGUCAAAUUAGCAUUUUACUUGUGAUAUUUUUGUCUCUUUUGCUACACCAAUAUCAUGUUCUUAGGAAUGCUUAUGUCUCUUAUGAAUUUUGGGUUUGCUCAUGGUUAGACCAGAUCUAAUUUCUCAGGGAAAUUAUCAUUGUGGUACAAAAUGCAUUUACUCGUACAUCAAUGUGUUUAUUGUAAUUUUGGGCUCUAUGCUAUAUGAUAGAAAAUUAAAGACACUGCGUCCCUUAGCCAUGUUAAUAUGUAUCUCCAAAGUAUUGGAAAAUAUUUAACAAAAAUCUAUUGUAAUUUAUUAUUUGUCUGUUCAUUAUCAAAUGCUAUUUUAUAGAUUUUUACUUUGGCAUGAUUGUGAUUGGCUCAGGCAAUGUCUUCCUUAAACAUGGUUCCGAACUGCGCUUGAUCCCCCGUGAUAGAGUGGGAGCAACUGAGUAAAGAAAGUAACAGGCUGGAUGACUUUUGUAUUCUGCUUUGCUUAUUCUGAAGGACUUUUAUUCUGGUUGAUCUAGAUUUGUUUUCUGCUUUACUUUCGUAAAAACUGGGUGGAUGGUGAGAGUUUCGUUUCCUCUUGGCAUUAUACUGUUGUAACUGAUACCAUAAAUUUGUGAUAUUCAUAUGGAAGCUAGCUACAGUUGGUAGCCUUUUAGGGUUUUAGUUAAUAAUGGAAGCACCUGUUGUCAUCUUGCUCUAUCUCUCACUCUCAUGACUCACUCUAUUUGAGAUGUAUAUGUGAUGUUGGGCUAGUUUGGAUUGCUAAGACUUUUGUCAAGCAACCUGGUUUAAAAAUUGAGAGUUGCGGGUUAGGCCCAACUGGCCUGUGAUGAUGUCUACGCGAGAGGCCUCAUGGUCUUUGGAUAACUGUGCUUGGUGUGACAACUGAUAGCAAGAGAUUUAAGGACUUGUUAUUGACGAUCCUUUAAGAUCAUUUGAAGUGGAUCAUCGAUAGCGAGAUGUUGCCGUAAUCCAUUAGCACCAGACUGAAUUGAAGGCCCAUUCAGAACAUUUAUGGCUUGCCUACCACGUGGACCUAGUAUCCAGGCAUUGAUUGAAUGCCCUGUCUAUAAAGCAUUUCUAGUCUUUAGCCCUGUGCCUGGUCAUAUAUCAUAUAUAAUUCCAAUCCUGGUGCGUUCCUUGAAGUGUCAAAAUUGUGCACAAGGAGCUUGAGUUUAUUUGCACCAAUCCUCCACUGGGAAAUGACGAAGAGCGGUGAAAAUGAUAGGUAUCCCGGAGUGCAUAAUCUCUUUAGGCUCAAAGGCACGUAACCCAUUAUGUAAGGUCGGCACAACCCAACAAAUGAAAUUGGCAUAGAAAGCAUUUCUUUCCAAACUUUCUUCCCGGACGAGGUUAUGCUUCUGGCUCACAUGUUCCUCUGGAAGCAGCCAGAGAAGCCAUAAUCUAACAAGUCGGCAACAAUGACGACAAUUGUCAUAGCAAUUAUGGGUUCAUUUAAAGUGGGUAGAGGGUGAAUGAGGACAAAAGCAUUUACGAGUCACAUCUAAUUUAGGGUCCAAAAUUGAAUAUUGAAUGUGUAAGCAGUGAACCAUCUCCUUCAGCGUCGUAUUCAUGUCUCCCUAACAGUCCUUUCCUAAUGAGACCAACAGUAGGGAUGGAGGCCUACUGAUUUUUCCACAUACAUGGCAUUUCAUUUUAGUGCCUAAUACGGAGACACGUUUCGCCUUCCCCUGCCUGCCCUUGUUAAGGAGGGAAAGUUAAAAUCGCUCAAUGAAAUAAUGCGACCUUCUUGUGGGACUUUUUUAUGUUUCAGAAACUAAAAUAUAAUGAAA
rnacentral:misc_RNA from 1 species